rnacentral:rRNA from 1 species
AACGAACGCUGGCGGCAUGCCUAACACAUGCAAGUCGAACGAGACCUUCGGGUCUAGUGGCGCACGGGUGCGUAACGCGUGGGAAUCUACCCUCAGGUUCGGGAUAACUCAGAGAAAUUUGAGCUAAUACCGGAUGAUGACGUAAGUCCAAAGAUUUAUCGCCUGAGGAUGAGCCCGCGUAGGAUUAGGUAGUUGGUGAGGUAAAGGCUCACCAAGCCGACGAUCCUUAGCUGGUCUGAGAGGAUGAUCAGCCACACUGGGACUGAGACACGGCCCAGACUCCUACGGGAGGCAGCAGUGGGGAAUAUUGGACAAUGGGCGAAAGCCUGAUCCAGCAAUGCCGCGUGAGUGAUGAAGGCCUUAGGGUUGUAAAGCUCUUUUACCCGGGAUGAUAAUGACAGUACCGGGAGAAUAAGCUCCGGCUAACUCCGUG